CAAAACAGUGAGAGUGAGGCACAUCAAGAGAAACGCCCUGAAGCACUACACCAGCAAUUUGCACCAGAACCUCAUGCCACCAAUGAAAGACAAAUUACACCAAAAGCACUUCAGGCUGAUAGAGCUGUUCAGACAUCAUUAAUCUGCAGAGACUGGUGAACAGAGGUUAACAUCCAAGGGAAGUCCUGUAGUAUUUCAACUAGCUGCUUUAUGCCACCAUGGUCUUCGACACCAUUGCCAGAUUUCACACAUGCAUCUGAAGCGGAAAUUGCUGACAGUGAAAACAGGAAUCGAAAUGAUGCUUCCUUUGUCUUCUCUGAUGUCAGAUUGGCUGAAGACAGCACUGAUCACACAGCCGUGCCUCUUCAUGAAGAGAGGAAGCUCAUUGUUUUCGAAUCUAGUCUGGAUGAACUGCUCUCGGUCUGCCCUCUGUGUUCACAUCUGUGUAGAGCAAUUGAUAAAAAUGUGAAGGGCACAUUAUUGCAGGUGACACGCAUGUGCAUAAACCGCCAUGUUUCUAAAUGGACAA